GACGAACGCUGGCGGCGUGCUUAACACAUGCAAGUCGAACGUGAUUUUUAUGGAAAUUCUUUCGGGAAUGGAAAUGAAAUGAAAGUGGCGAACGGGUGAGUAACACGUGAGCAACCUACCUUACACAGGGGGAUAGCCGUUGGAAACGACGAUUAAUACCGCAUGAGACCACAGAAUCGCAUGAUAUAGGGGUCAAAGAUUUAUCGGUGUAAGAAGGGCUCGCGUCUGAUUAGCUAGUUGGAAGGGUAAAGGCCUACCAAGGCGACGAUCAGUAGCCGGUCUGAGAGGAUGAACGGCCACAUUGGAACUGAGACACGGUCCAAACUCCUACGGGAGGCAGCAGUGGGGAAUAUUGCACAAUGGGGGGAACCCUGAUGCAGCGACGCCGCGUGAGCGAAGAAGGUUUUCGAAUCGUAAAGCUCUGUCCUAUGAGAAGAUAAUGACGGUAUCAUAGGAGGAAGCCCCGGCUAAAUACGUGCCAGCAGCCGCGGUAAUACGUAUGGGGCGAGCGUUGUCCGGAAUUAUUGGGCGUAAAGGGUACGUAGGCGGUUUUUUAAGUCAGGUGUGAAAGCGUGAGGCUUAACCUCAUUAAGCACUUGAAACUGGAAGACUUGAGUGAAGGAGAGGAAAGUGGAAUUCCUAGUGUAGCGGUGAAAUGCGUAGAUAUUAGGAGGAAUACCGGUGGCGAAGGCGACUUUCUGGACUUUUACUGACGCUCAGGUACGAAAGCGUGGGGAGCAAACAGG
rnacentral:rRNA from 1 species